rnacentral:lncRNA from 12 species
GAUUCGCCCUGACGUCACGGGCCGCCCGCCAGCCCCGCGCUCGGGUGGGCAGAGCGCGUGCGGCCGCCGAGCACAUGGGCCCGCGGGCCGGGCGCGCUCGGGGCGGGCGGGGGGCCGCGCGCAGCCUCGGGCCCCCGCGCCCCCCGCGCCCCCGGGCGCAUUUCCACGCCGAGAGCGCGUCGGCAGCCCCGGCGACCUGCACACGCACGGCGGGACCCACCUUCCAGCCUGAUCUUUUGACCAGAAAGGGAUUAAAAAGUUGCCCAUCCUGAUGGCUGUGCCUGCCGGUUGCAUGGAGCCUCAUUCAGGAUUUCCUGAGCCUCUUGGAUUUACAGUGAUACUCAGCUGCGGGGAGUGGAGGAAGCAUUCUCUGGAAUCACAGACGGCACACGUCUGGAUGCUAAUGAUGGUUUUACGGAUGGCCCCGGCUGAGUGCUUGGCAGAUCCCUGCAGCCUGGAUGCCUGUGGGGUCAGAGGACCGCGGCUUCCUGGGACGGCGGAGGUCUCUGCCCUUAUCUUCAUGCAAAUGUUCAGUUGGGUUGCUGCUAGCCUCACUGAGGGCGCCCCGUGAAACGCUCCCCGAAGCCCCCAGGAACCCCCGCAGCCUGGCUCUCGGCCGACCCUCUUCGGGACACCGUGUCAUGUUGCGUUCACUGAUCCGUAUGAUGGCAUGUCCGGCACCACCAGUGACGGCAGGUUCGCUGCUCCGUGUGAUGACGCCUUCCCCGCUCCACGGAGUGCUAGCCUGCGUGUUCGUCGUGCUGAGAGGUCACAGAGGGAAAGGGAGCCUUGGAGCAAUGCCCCGGGGGAUAGAGGCCAGAAUGUUCCAGGUGGAAAAAAUCUGUGCUCCAGGUGGUGACAGCAGUGAAAUCUGGCCACACCAGGGAGUGUCUGCUGCGGGGAGCCUCGGCCAGGCCACCGUCGGGCCUCCCUCCAGCCUGCUGGGCAGUAGCCCCCCUUCCCACGUCCACGCUCCGUGGGCCGCGGUGAGUGUGUUAGCCAGGACGUUACACAUGAGAAAGCUUGACGUCGGCUGGGCGACGAGUUGGUGUUGCUGCCUGCAGUUCAGCCCCCCACCCCCACCCCUCCGCCCCCUGAACAUUCUCUGGCUGUGA